rfam:Medicago truncatula strain A17 chromosome 3, whole genome shotgun sequence.
AAACAGCUCCCUAUGUAUUGGAGUUUUGGCCUCCAAAGGCACUUUUGACUUAGUCUUCGCUGAUGUGUCACCCACAAUGGUCGUCACGUGGCACCUCACUUAAGGGAUGUGGGUGCCACGUCAGCGAAAACUAAAUCAAAAGUGGUCUUGGGGGCCAAAACUGCCAAUGAUCUAAUACAUAUGGGUUGUUU